rnacentral:rRNA from 1 species
UCUUAGUGGCGGACGGGUGAGUAACGCGUGGGUAACCUGCCUUAUACAGGGGGAUAACACUUAGAAAUAGGUGCUAAUACCGCAUAAGCGCACGGGGCUGCAUGGCCCAGUGUGAAAAACUCCGGUGGUAUAAGAUGGACCCGCGUCUGAUUAGCUUGUCGGCGGGGUAACGGCCCACCAAGGCGACGAUCAGUAGCCGGCCUGAGAGGGUGGACGGCCACAUUGGGACUGAGACACGGCCCAAACUCCUACGGAAGGCAGCAG